CCCGCUUCGACGAGAUCGCGGAGGAUUAACAAAGAAUCAGUAACGAUAAUCAAGCUUCAUUCCAUGGCACCCAGAUGGAAAUGGAAAGGUGCUGAAGCCAAAGCUCUUGCGGAACCAAUUUCAAACUCAGUCUCAGAGCUCCAACUCUCUCUAGCCAAAACAGAGACAUCCGGUUCCCUUUCGAGUUGCAACGUGCUUCUAGCGGUUGAGCCUGAGCAAGCUGAGCUACUCGACCGCUGUUGUUUUGGCAGACUCGUCCUAUCCGCUGAGAAAGACAAGAAAUGUAUUCAGUUAUCCUUUGAAGAAGCUUUCUAUUUGCUUUACAAUCUCAAAUGCAUCAAAAUCUACCUCCAAGGCCGUUGCUUGGAGAACGAAGUCGACACUUGGAUGUACAUGAAAUCACAAAGACCAAACUUCCCGAUAUUUUUCAAACCUUAUUCACAUUUACGGUCCAAGAACUGGGUUUUGAGAUCCGGGUUGCAAUACGGUGUGCAUUUCGUGGCAUACCGUCACCAUCCAUCUCUUGUCCACUCUGAAUACUCUGUUUUGGUUCAGUCUGGUGAUAGUAAUCGGUUAAGAGUGUGGUCAGAUGUCCAUUGUGCUGUUCGUUUAAGCGGCAGUGUUGCCAAGACGUUAUUGACUGUCCAUGUGAGUGGUAACUCUAAAAAAGAGGAUUUGAAUCUACCUUUGUGUUUGGAGAACUACAGAGUGGAAGAGCAAACUAUUUGUAGAUGGAGCCCAGAACUCAAUCGUGAAGAUGAAACCACAAAUCCAAAACCAAAUGCUACCACUAGCUAUGGAUAAGCAGGUUCAUUUGAAUAGAAUAGUCUCAAGCAAAAAAAGAAGCAGUACAUUUGUUAUAAAAUCAGAUGUUUCGACACAGACACAAUCCAACGAAUCUCUAUGCAAACAUAAGACAUUAGUAAGAAGUGCGAGAAAAGAUUUUGUUUCUUCCUUAAGAUGUUCAUUUGCUGGUAAUGAAUAUGAAUUCAGACGUAAAGAAAUAUUUUUAUACGCUUAUCCUUUCUUUUUAAUAACUACCGUCAUGUUUUCUUUGCCAUUCGAUUGUAACCUAUGUCUCCAUCUUUCAGUAUUGAAUAUUCAUGAGCUCUCUAUACAAUUGUUGGUGGGUCAGGCUAUACAUUGAAGAAGCAAAGAAGAGGAUGAAAUGGAUCUCCAGAUGUUCCCAAGAAGCUGUCUCCUCGUGCUGCUCGGCCACUAAAGUUAGCAGCGCUAGAGACAGACUCUUCUUCAUCUGCUAUCUCAGCUAAUAAUAGAAUACCAAAGGACACAAGUCCAAAAGUUUCAGACCGUAAACCUUCACCAAGUCCUUUCUCCGAGAAGAAGAGGCCGAGCAGAAUAACGGAGCUUGAGUCGCUAGUCUCACAGCUUCAAGGGGAGCUGAAGAAGGCGAAACAUCAAGUCAGUGUGUCUGAGACAUCAAAGAAGCAAGCAAAGCAAGAAGCAGAAGAGUCCAA